GGUACGUACUCGCGUGCUCGCAAGUCUGUGCUUGAAGUACGGACUUGCCAAGUACGUACUUGCAAGUCAUCGAGUCCGUAGUACGCGUGCUAGGAAUUGAGAAACGGCCUUACACACCGCUAAAUCGGAAACCAAAGAUGAACCAUGGAAAGAUCUCGCAGAGCAGCUUGUUCCAGGAACUUGGUUGGAGAAAACUGGACAUGAUAUCGAGGGACUUCCACCACAGGAAUAUGGGAACGACUGUGGGAUCUUCAUGAUUAUGUACGCUUGGUACCUUGCCAUGGAGGCACCAUUUGACUUCACUGUUAAAGACAUGCCAGUCCUCAGAAAAUGGUGGUGCACAGUACAGCUUGAGAACUUCCACCUGGAUGGGCACGGUAGAAGGUUCGCACACUUCACGGAGGAGGCCAAACAAAUGGCGGUUGGACUACUUCCACCAGUCUUCAGACUGAAGCGAAAAAGAGAAUGAGUUGGAGCUGAUGGCAGCAUGAAGAACCUAUAUCUUUAAGAUUCUGUAGAUUAUGUGUUGAAUAAAUUGUGAGGAA